GCUCAGCCCUAAACAUAGAUAGUAAAAUACAAACCAUCCGCCAGAGAACUACGAGCGAAAAGCUUAAAACUCCAAGGACUUGGCGGUGCUUCAAACCAACCUAGAGGAGCCUGUCCUAUAAUCGAUAAUCCACGUUCUACCUUACCACCUUUUGAAAACAGCCUAUAUACCGCCGUCGUCAGCCUACCUUAUGAAAGAAACAAAGUAGGCAAAAUAGUUAACAACUAAUACGUCAGGUCAAGGUGUAGCAUAUGAGGCGGGAGAGAUGGGCUACAUUUUCCUAAAAAGAACAUACAAACAGCACACUGAAAUAAGUGCCUAAAGGUGGAUUUAGUAGUAAGACAAACAAGAAACCUUGUCUUAAACCUGCUCUGAAGCGCGC
rnacentral:rRNA from 1 species